CAUCCCUUUUGCUCAAGCUUGACGCCACCCUCUCGCGGUAUCAUCUCAACUCUCGCCUCCUCUCUUGCUCUGUUUCUUCCAUCUCGGUUCUCAUCAAGGCUUCUUGGGGAAGUUCACGGCUGAAGAUUCAUUCUUGAGCAUUGAAUAGACUUCCAACAUGGAUGGCCUGUCCCCAGGCUUCUCUUGCACGCAUAGAAGAGCCACUUGCAUGCAUCUCAAGAGCUUACAGGAUGAUGAAGAGUCAUCCAAAGACGGGUCAAUGAACUCCAUGCAUUUAUCGUCUUUCCACUGCUCAUAUGCCUGAAAUUAAGAACGCCAGUUGGUUAAAAGUCAAAAUUCAUGUUCCUAAAAUUGAGCCCAGAAAAUUUUGGAAUCACAAAUAAUCUCUACUUACAUAAUC